rnacentral:misc_RNA from 1 species
AAGUCGUAACAAGGUUUCCGUAGGUGAACCUGCGGAAGGAUCAUUAACACGUAUCCAAACGUUAAACCCCCCUGUGAACCUUCAGUGUACUCGUACGUCCGUUAGAAAAAGCAGCAAUCCCUGGUAAAUCAUCGCCGAACAGUUUUCGAUUCAGGGACGUCUGCAAGGAGCGUGCAUGUUGUGCGAAGCAAGUGGCCUGGCAUCCCCAAGCAGUUAGUGUCUGAAAGUGUCAUUACCUGUGUAAGGAUGACGCAGUCACGAUCGUUGGAGGCCCACACGGCCGACGACCGGGUCGCUGGGCGCAAGCCCCCCUAUAACAAACCCCCUGCCAAUCGCGGCCGCGAUAAUACGCAGUCGACCAAAAACCGAACAACUGUUAACAAUGGAUAUCUUGGUUCUC